UUAAUUCCUACCUUCUUCAGUUCUCUCAUUCACAGUCUCGCUCUCUAUCUCUCUUUCCAGAUGGCAAAUUUUCUGGGUUUACAUCGGGUUCAUUGUUAUUUUCUUAUUCUGUUUGUAAAUUCUUGUCAAAUUGCUUCUUUGUUUUGUAGCUUCCUGGAACUUUGAAGGCAAAAAUGAUUAUGACACUACAUAGAUACGAAAAAAUAUGCUUGAAAUUGGUUUGGUUCUCUGCGCUACAGUGGGAUAAGUGAUAACCUUGCUCAACUUCGAACACUUGAAAACCCAUCAUCGUUUCUUGACUUCUUCAAUGGUAGGGACCAAUCUCAAACGAUGCUUUGACAUGCAUGAGUUGCUUUCUCCUAUGCUGCACCUUGAGGAUUGAAUUACUUUUGGUUGACUGGGAAGAUUCUCUGAGGUCCAUGAUUUUUGCUUGGUUUUCACAGGAAUUCUAGGUGAGGCAGUACUUGGCAAUAUAAUCUGCAUAAUGGGCCUAUUAUUAGGGAAAAAAGAAGAACAAAGGUUUAUUUACGUAUAAUUUCUUCUGUCAACUCCAUUAUAUAAUCAACUUGGGAUUUGGUGUGGCUAUUUUUCUAAGUAGGUGACUACUUGCUCUGAGUUUGUGUUGUUUUCUAGAUGAUUAUUUUAAGUGUGUCUCAUGGAGUGUCUCUUGCCAUGUUUUGCAUUAGGGAGCCAAUUAGGAUCCACAGAAUUGGUAGUGCUUGUAAGCCGCAUUUCUCUUUGAUCAAAUCUGAUUUGCACUUUUCGAAUUUACUAAUUUCCUAUCAGUGUUGGAACUACUUAAUGAGGAUUUUGAGUGCACGUCUACCCAACUAAGUUCUAAUUGAUGUUGUUUAUCGAAGAAGAGACAAAUAUUAUUCAAAACUAAUUUUCUGUAGUGGAAGGGAAAUGACGACGUUGUCUUACUGUAGUCGCCACAGUUCUUGCUGCUCUAUGCUUAUAGUUAAUCUGAUUUUGUAUGAGUGAUGAUCUAACAAGCGUGCUAUAUUUCAGCUUCACACUUCCUGUACAAAAUUUUCAUGUCACUUAGAAUGUAUUUGUAUCUUUUUUGGGUUGAAUGUAGAUAUCAAGACUUGGAAAGAAAUUGAUGAGUACUUACUGGUAUCACAGGCACAUGAGGAAACGACGGCAGGAAAUCAACCUCAUAGCUUGAGGAGAGAACUUUAUAAGCCAAAUGAAUUUAAUUGAUGUUGAGGCCUGUCUUCAGCUGAAACAAGGAGAGGAUUGGAGCAAAUUGCAGCGUUUUCUUAUGUAAAUUAAUUUUGAUGACAACGAUUUUGGUGUCCUUCUCCUAAUCAAGAACAUCUUGAGAUACGUGGUUUAAAACAAAAACAAAAAAGGGAACAUCAGGCACCCGUGCGUAGCAUGGGCACUUCCAUCUAUUAACUAAAAGAAGGCCCAACAGAGUUUUUCGAUAUGUUGGCCUUGUCUUCAAACACCGACUGGGAAUUCUCAUAAAGAAACCAUAAUGCGAUCAUGUGGUUAUGUGCAUUCUUGUUACCUAUAAAACUCGUUUAUGGAGUCAUGAGAAAUUUUCUUUUAUGUCUUUCCUUUCUUAUUCUUCAAUGUGUAUUACUAUCUGUAGCAGUAUUUA